AGUUUUGAAUUGGCAUUAGUACAGGAUGGUUAAGAACCCUCAGCACAUCUGCUUGAGUAUUAACCAAUGGCAAGCCAGCUCCAAGAACAGGGGCAGGCAGAAGCUGUGGUACGCCCAUUUGCAUACCUGUUGCUAGACCCAUCUGAGAGUAUUGCGGCCCCAAAGGCAACAUUGUUGCUGGUGUAACAAAUCUUUUACCCAUCGUCAUCAUCUGUCAUCCAAGAUUCAUACAGGAACUUGUGGCCUCACAUCAUCUAGGCUCUGCUUAGAGACAAAAAACUGUUUUCAGACAAGAACCUAACAAUAUAAAACCAAAUCUGUGAAUCAAUCAACCCUCUUACACUGCUUUGAUACGUCGAUUCUUCACUGUCUUCAGUAAAAUCUGUGGAGUCGUAUCCCAGUUCAACCGACCUCUCAGCAACCACAGAUUGCUCAUCAGGAGGUACAAUAUCCU